AGUGAACGCUGGCGGUAGGCCUAACACAUGCAAGUCGAACGGCAGCACAGUAAGAGCUUGCUCUUACGGGUGGCGAGUGGCGGACGGGUGAGGAAUACAUCGGAAUCUACUUUUUCGUGGGGGAUAACGCAGGGAAACUUACGCUAAUACCGCAUACGACCUACGGGUGAAAGCAGGGGAUCUUCGGACCUUGCGCGAUUGAAUGAGCCGAUGUCGGAUUAGCUAGUUGGCGGGGUAAAGGCCCACCAAGGCGACGAUCCGUAGCUGGUCUGAGAGGAUGAUCAGCCACACUGGAACUGAGACACGGUCCAGACUCCUACGGGAGGCAGCAGUGGGGAAUACUGGACAAUGGGCGCAAGCCUGAUCCAGCCAUACCGCGUGGGUGAAGAAGGCCUUCGGGUUGUAAAGCCCUUUUGUUGGGAAAGAAAAGCAGCAGGUUAAUACCCCGCUGUUCUGACGGUACCCAAAGAAUAAGCACCGGCUAACUUCGUG
rnacentral:rRNA from 1 species